rnacentral:rRNA from 1 species
UACGGGGGGGGCAAGCGUUGUUCGGAAUUACUGGGCGUAAAGGGCGCGUAGGCGGCCUAGCAAGUCACUUGUGAAAUCUCCGGGCCUAACUCGGAACUGCCAAGUGAAACUGCUGGGCUAGAGUGCAGAAGGGGUAAUCGGAAUUCUUGGUGUAGCGGUGAAAUGCGUAGAUAUCAGGAGGAACACCGGUGGCGAAGGCGGCAUCCUGGACCGGCAUUGACGCUGAUGAGCGAAAGCCAGGGGAGCAAACGGG